GGGCGUGUGGCCUAGUCUGGAUAUGGCAGCAGCCUCCUAAGCUGCGGAUCAGGGGUUCGAAUCCCUUCACGCCCG
rnacentral:tRNA from 1 species